GAAGAAGAAAAAAAAAAAGUAGGAGAAACUCUGCUAAAAUAGUGACAGUUCCUGUUUCUGGUUGAAAUUUUAAAAAGACUUUCUGCUUCAAACUUGUACUGAACAGAUUUUAUAUGAUUAGAAUAUAUUUUCUAAUAGAAAAUGUUUUUCUCUUUUUUAGUUGUUGAAAUAGUACAGAGGGGUCCUGUACCCUUCGCCCAGUUUCCCCCAAUGGGAACAUUGGCACAACUAAUGCAACAUCAAAGCAGGAAGUGGACUUUGGUACAACCACGGAUCUUAUUCAGGAGCCGUGUCCUUGGAUUGCACUGCGGGGACUUCCUAUAGAGCCUUCUCCUUCACAAGAUGGCACGGGGCUGCCAGGGAAUUCGUGUUCCCAGGCCAGUGGGUGACUCUGUGGCCCUGCCAUUCGGGAUUGAGGCUCCUUCCCGUUCAUUUCUCUACGUUGAAGGCAGCAGUUCUCAAAAUGGUUCCUACCCCAGGGGGAACUUGGAGCACAAAGCCCAGAGGUGCAGAAGCUGAUCUGUAACCAUGAGGACAGAAAGCAUAUGCUGACGGUGGUGGGGUAGGAAGAUGAGCGAGUCUGCAUCCUAGAUGACCCGGUGACGCCGGCGCCCCAUCCUGAGCUGGGACCUUUGGACCUCUCAGCACGUAAGAAAAAUAAACCUCCAUCCGUUGGGCUGUCUAUUCUUGCAGCUCUGUGGCAGGUUUACAUUUUUUCACGCUUUUAUCAAAAUGUUGAAGUGUUCAGCUAUUAUUUCUUCAAAUAUUUUCUCUGCCCCGUUCUCUCUUUCUUCUCCUUCUGGGACUCCACAGUACACAUGUUGGUCUGCUCUGAUGGUGUUCCACAGGUCCCUUAUGCUCUGUUCACCUUUCUUCAAUCUCUUUUCUUUCUGUGUCUCCGACUAGAUAAGGGUCACUGUUCUGUCUUCAAGUUUGCUAAUUCUUUCCCCAGCCUGCUCACAUCUACCUUUGAAUCCCUCUAGUAAGUUUUUCAACUCUGAAUUUUCUAUCUCUUGAUGGAUAUUUCCAUUUUGCUUAUACAUCGUUUUUUAUUUUCUUCAUAUCAUCUUCCUUUGAGCAUCUUUAAGAGAAUUGUUUAGCUUUGUCUAGCAAGCGUGCCGCCUGAUCUUUCUCAGGGAUGCUUCUGUUGUGGGUGUGUUUCCCCCCUUGAAUGGACCAUAUGUUCCAUUUCUUUGUCUGCCUUAUGAUUUUGUUGUUGAAAACCGGGUAUUUCAAUCUAAUAAUGUAGUGACUGGAAAUAAGAUUCUCCCCCUUCCCUGGGUUUGCUGAUUUUUGCUUUUUGUUUUUUGAUUGCUGUAAGCCGUGCCGUGCCAGUGACUUUAUACAUACCCCUGUGUCUGUGGUUGCUUU